UUGACCAAACUGUGGAUUGGUUCAACUGCAUGGACAUCACUGCUAUUCCGAAAUCUGUGUUUCUAUAUCUAUCUAUCCAUGAAAAUUAAUUUGUGUUUCACGAGAGUACUGUUGGUUUAGAGAAACUGGCUUCCCUCACUGGCAAGCACAUUGCAUUUUUUAUUUUCCUAUAAUUUUUAAUGGUUUUUUUAGAGUUUAAUUUUUCACGGAUUGUGAAAUUUUAAUUUUUUUUUUGUAGUAUGCACAUGUAAUUGUGACUGUCCUUUCAGGUAUAUAUGAACGGAUAUUGCCAUUUGUCUGGCCUGCUACCAAUACCUUUACAUUCUAAAGAAAAGGAAUCAGGAUGUAAUGAUUCUUAUGACCUUCAAAAUGAAGAGACUUCUUUAAGGUUGGACCCCAAGCAAUCUAUGUGGUUGGUCGAGACAAUGAUGAAUCAAUUGCUGCUGGGAGUGAAAUAAGUGAUGCUGCAAGCUGGGAAACUGUUAAUGACGAUGAAAUGGAAGUCCUUGAGGAUUCCAGAGAGAUUUGUUUCUUUUUCCACCUGUAUUGUGAUUCUUACUGUGUUUCAACUUGUUUCUUUGUGAGAGGAAGUCUAAA